GACCCCCAGCCGUCAGUGGCGGCCGCCAUGUUGUGCUAGUUUGUUGUUCUCUUACGGCUGGUGGUGCGGAGCAGGCGGCGGGAGGGCGGAGUAUCCUCGCCCCCUGCAGCCUGGCGCCGAGCGGGGCCUGCGCCCGAGGCUUUCCCCCCACUCUGAGCCUCAUUGCAGCUGCGGGAGACACCGCCAGGAGCGGCCGCCGCCCGCGCAGGAGGAGGCGCCAUGGCUGCUGCCUUGGGAGGAGCAGAUGAUGACUUUGAUCAGUUUGAUAAGCCUGGUGCAGAAAGGUCUUGGAGAAGAAGAACUGGAGACGAUGACUGGGACAGUGAACUUGAAGAUGAUUUGCUUGGAGAGGAUUUGCUUACUGGUAAAAAGAAUCAGUCAGACUUGUCAGAUGAAGAACUGAAUGAUGAUCUUCUACAGAGUGACAAUGAAGAUGAACCAAGUUUUAGUUCUCAAGGUGUCACAGUUAGUCUUAAUGCUACAUCUGGCAUGGUUACGUCAUAUGACUACUCUGAGAACGCUAAUGAUCAUUCGAUAGAACAUGAGUCGGAAUACGACCAAGGGGAGGAUGAAAUGGCUUAUGACAAAUCGGGUGAACCUGAAGUAUAUUCUCAAGAGUACACAGGGGAAGGACAGUAUGAAGGCAAUGAUGCUGAGCUGACAGAAGACCAAAUAGAAUAUGGGGAAGAACAGGGAGAGGAAGAAAUUUACAAUGAUGAAGUGCUAGACCUUGAAAUCAAUGAACCUCUAGAUGAAUUUCCAGAUGAAGAUUAUAUACAGUCAUAUAAUGAACAACAAGGGAUGGAAGAACAGGAAGAAUAUGUAGCUGAAGAGGAAUUGGAGGAGGUCGUUGAUUCCCAAACACCUACAAAUGAAUCAGAGGAGGCAGCUAUUGAAACUCUGGAACUUCAGGAGGAAACAAAAGAAGAAUCUGAUGAAGAGGAGGAGGAGAAUGAAGAAUCUGGACGACUACGUUUCAAAACUGAACGAAAAGAAGGAACCAUCAUUAGGCUCUCAGACAUAACGAGAGAGAGGAGAAACAUUCCAGAAACGUUGGAACUCUCAGCAGAAGCCAAAGCAGCGUUGUUUGAAUUUGAAGAAAGGGAAAGACAGCUUAAACAGGGACGCUAUGGCUCAAGGAGAGGAGGGAGGAGAGGAGGUUCCAUAAUGUGUCAUGGAAUGGGAGAACAAAGAAGAGACAACAAUGAAAGGGGAAGAAUGAAGGAUCACAGGCCUGCGCUGCUGCCAACGCAGCCACCAACAGCGGGUCAUUCACAGAGGUUAAUUCCUCCUCACCAGCAGCAGCCUAUUAGGAGUCUGUUCCAGCAACAACAACUACAAACACUGCUUCCUAUGCAGCAUCAACACCAUUCAUCUCCUCCUCCAGGACUACAUAUGCCACCCCAGAUAGAAACACCUGGAAUAAUGAUGACUCCACCCCCAGUGACACCCCAACAACCGAAGAACAUACAUAUAAACCCACAUUUCAAAGGGACAGUAGUGACGCCUGUGCAAGUGCCCUUGUUGCCAGUCCCAACCCAGCCAAGACCUGCUGUAGGACCCCAGAGAUUUCCUGUCCCUCCAGAUUUUCAGCAUCAUCCUCCUGGACCUGUUCCUACCAACUUCACCCAAGCCCCAAGAAUCCCUCUACAGGACCAGUGGAGAGGCCCACCUCCACCACCUAUGCCUCCACCACCACCUCCUCCUCCUCCUCCCCAGGAAAGAGACCCUUUCUUCCUGGGAGAUCCAAGAUUCCCAAGUCAUCAUUUGUUCGAGCAACGGAGUCCCCCACCUCCACCCCCUCCCCCACUCCUUAACAGUACCCAUCCUGUCCCUACCCAAAAUCCUCUGCCUUUCAAUCAACCUGGACCAGGAUAUAAUCAGCAAGGGCAGCAACCAGUAUUUCCCAGAGACAGACCAGUAAGGCCAAACAUCCAGCCUCAGAAUCCUGGUGGAAUUCUUCACUUCAGCCAACCAGGUUCAGCAAAUCCACGGCCUUUCAUGCAACCCAGACAGCAAUUCUUACAAAACCCAGGACAGCCAUUUCUAGCAACACAUACACAGCCCAAUAUGCAGGGUCCCUUGCACCCUCCUCUACCGCCUCAGCCUCACCACCAGCAACAGCACCACCAGCAGCAGCACCACCAGCAGCACCACCAACAGCAUCAUCAGCUUCAGCAUCAACAUCAGCAGCAGCAGCAGCAGCAGCAGCAUCUUGCUGGUCCACCACAGCCUUUGAUUCCCAUUACCCAGCCACAGUUCAGACCUCAUUUGCAGCCUUCACAGCAACAGUCAAAUAACAAUAGAAUGCAGUGUCAACAGCGGCAGGGUCCGAUGAAUCCAAGACAUAGUACACCAACGCAGAACAUGGUCAAGCGUCCGAAUCAGCAGCUGCAGUCAACUGCUUCAAGAAAUAGCAACUUGCGUGAAUUACCAAUAGCACCUUCGCAUGCUAUUGAGAUUAGUAACAACCGGCGAACCGCUGCACCUGCUGCGCAGGUGAAACCCAUUACCAGCACAACACCUGCUACAAGAUCUGUAGUAGGUGUUGGGAGCCCACAUGGGAGGACUGAAAUGAAAGCUAGAGCAGUUGUGCCAGUGGUCCAAACUAAAGUAGAAGUAAAAUCUGAACCAGAGUUUCCUGAUGAAGAUGAAGAAACCAGAUUAUACCGCUUGAAGAUAGAAGAACAGAAACGCCUAAGAGAAGAAAUUCUGAAACAGAAGGAGCUGAGACGGCAGCAGCAGGCAGGUGCUAGAAAGAGAGAGUUACUUGAAAGACUUGCACAACAGCAGCAACAGCCUCCUACACAACAAUCUUUCACACAGCAGGAAGAGGAAUCAUCAGAGUUUCCCACCAAUGGAAAUCCAUUUAUUGUCCAUCCUGGUGCACAGACCAGGCAAAAUGUGAAAAAUAGACUUCUUGUUAAAAAGCAAGACAUGGUAGUUGCAAAUAUUCAGCCCAAACCCACAGAUUUCAUGCAAGAUGGGGCUAAUAUGCAUUUUCAAGGACAGCAAGUGAAAACAGUGAAGCCUUUGAGACAGACUAGAACAGUACCACAAAGUCAGCUUCAGCCAUUGCCGAAAGUAUUACAAACAAAACCUUCAGCAACUACAGCAUCACUCACCCCAGGACAGACUGCUAGAGUGGCAUCGAUACAAGGAAGGCCUCAGGAACUGAAACCUGGUGUGAAAAGGACUGUCAUGCAACGGGCAAACACUGGUAGUGGAGAUGGGCCCCAUGUCAGCACCAAAGUGAGGGUGAUUAAGUUGUCAGGAGGGCAGGAGGGGGAGAAUGUUGGCUUUGUGCAGCCAGAGGGCCAGCCCCAACGCCUCCAACAACCUCCAGAACUGAGACAGCAGCCAGUGCGGAAGGUCACAUUGACAAAGGGACCACUCCAGCAGCAGCAGCAACAGCAGCAGCAGCCGCAAGCUCAAAUACAUUCAACAGUUCCUCAAGGAGUCAAAAACAUCCAAGGGAUUCAUCCAGCUAAAAAGGUCAUUAUGCAUGGGAGAGGCAGAGGAGUAGCAGGCCAGAUGGGCCGGGGACGCUUGAUGCCAAAUAAACAGAACCUGCGAGUGGUGGAGUGCAAACCUCAGCCCUGUGUUGUGUCAGUUGAAGGGCUUUCUUCAUCAACUACUGAUGUUCAACUGAAAAACCUGCUGAUGUCAGUAGGACCCAUUCAGCACCUGCGUUUGGAAUCCAAAAAGCAGAAGCUGGUAAAAGUUUACAGAUGCUUCCUCAGCAACGGAAAGCCAUAGCGAAAUUUAAGGAACCAGCACAUGCAUUAGCAUUUCAACAGAAAUUCCACAGGCAUAUGAUAGAUCUAUCCCACAUUAACGUGGCUUUGAUAGUUGAGUGAGCAUAGCUGAUAACGCUAAUAGAAACAUACAGUGGAGCUACACAUGGAGAAGAUACAAAGGCAAAACCAUCAGGAUCUGAAGUCUUUUCAGUUUACAGUCUUUCUUUAACUGCUCUGUAGAACUACAGAAAGUAACAAGAUUUCCUCAAGAUAAGCUGAACCUAAGAGGAUCUAGCAAAGUGGAGUUUUGUGUUCAAUUUCUUCACAUUCAGUUGUAACCCCAUGGAACUACAGAUUUUUUUUUCAAAGUGCUUACAAUGCAUGUAGACAUUGUUCUUCAAGAUCAUACUGUGUGAUCACAGUGACUUGAUGAGAAAAAGAACACUUACAUUGAAAAAUUUAAAAAGUUUCUUCAUAGCAAAGAAUAUUUGAUAAUGGUUGCUCUUAUCUUCAGUGCAUGGUAUUUAUAUGAGAACUCACUUCUCUAAACAAAACACACAUGUGUUGUUCCUCGGAGGAGAUAGAAGGUGCAUUCUUAUAUAGAUUAAGACGUGGUCUACUUGAUUAUUGAUAAUAUUCUGAAAGGCUUUGGAGGUGACACUGGAAGGCUGUAGUUUCUGUUUUUGUAAAUAUGUUAGAUCGGUUUUUGCAUCUUCUAGUCUGACACAUUCCCUCUUUACUCCCUCCCCCUCCCUUUGUGAAAUGAAAACACUUUGUAGGAGUAACAUUGCUACAUCUCUCCCCCCCCCCCCCCCCCCGGUUUAAAACGAAGGAUCUUGAUCUUCAUCUUUCGGUAGCAUAAUGGGGUAGUUUACUCCAAGUAGUAAUUUAUUACAAUUUAGAUUGUUUUUUAAAUGGGAUUGCAAGAUACGAGGAAAAAGUGAAACACUUACCCUCAUUUUAAAAAUAGGGUGACACAGAGAAUGUGGUACAUUCCCAAUUGUGUUUCUUUGUGCCACUAUUGCAGAGUAUGCUUUCUCUUAAUCUUUGUCAAUUAGUAUUUUUCCUUGAAAUUUAUUUUGUGACUCAUGCUAAACCAUUAAAAAAAAAAAACAUUAUAGCAAAGGCAUUAGAAUUGUGGCAUGGUGUUCCCCACAAAGAUGGGAUUAUGAGGAUGUUAUGCUGCGGGUGACAUUGGCAGUUCUAAAAAUUAUGUGCAAACAUGAAAGAUUGCAUUUUAUAGUUGGUAAAAUUCAUUAUACUUUGAGUUAGAACCAUCUGGAUGGUAUUUCCAAAGGAACAAGUUUUCAGUUACUUUUGGACAAAUUUAGCAGAAUGCUAUUGUUUAUAUCCGAUUGCAGGUUUUAUUAAACAUUUUUUUAGUUUUUAUUUGGUGGGGUUUUCCUUCGUUCUUUAUUUUUAGGAUAUACUUUUGAGUGCUGACCUAUUUUUUGAAGUGGGCACCUACAGAAACUUCAUAGUCUUUGAGGAUACUCAAGUAACCGAAACAAAAAAACACUAACAUGAUGUAGUGAAUCUGCAGGAGCUUGUGAAUGGGGUCUAAACAAGUGCCAGAAUAUGGAAGAAUGGCAGGUUGAAGCAAAUUAGCUGUGGUAAACCUUAGCUUGUAUGUAAGAUUUAGUGGUGACAGAGUUCACAUAGUCUUUCUAACUGGCUUUCUCACAGCAGAGAUUUUUGUACUGAUUUCCAAUUAAGUAGAAGUUACUAAAAAUUAAUGAUUGAGCAGUAAAUAGUGUCUAAAGUUUCCUAGGUAAAACUGCUUUCUUUUUCCACUGAAAUAAUAUGAGAAUAAUGUAGUGUAUUAACAUUAUUACAAUGGGAAAAUGAAAAUGUUUAAGGAAUAGUAGUUUCUAAAGCCAUUUGCAUCAUAGCAGAUCACAGUAAGAUCAUUAGAAUAUUCAUGUAUGAAGGUGGGUUUUCUCACAUUUGCAUAUCUCUAAAUCAUAACAUUUGGCGCAGUGCAGCACAGUUGAUGUUCUUUGCUCAGGACAGAUCCAAGACUGGGAGUAGCAGAUGUGUCACAGGUAGAAAUGAGUUGGUGGGGCUGUAUGUGAAGGCUAGCGUGACACCUGACUUCCAUGGUGCUUGGCUCUCACUAGUGCUCUUCCCUCCUCACAUCCACCAUUACUAAACCCCUCAAAUAUUGUGGUUUUUAUUGUUAAAAAGGAAUGCUUACAUCUCAGAUGGGCCAUUAAAGGUGGUGACGUACCCACUGUUAAGGAACAGCUUCUCCGUGAGGGGAAGAUUGGAAAAAAUCUGGAAAAUAAAUGGAUCUGAGUGUCUGCCCAUGGAAGUAUGGGUCGGAUGUGGCUACAAAUAGCUCAGUAGGGGGAGUCCAGCAGUAGGCAGAUGAUGAUGCUGGAAUAUGAGCUUUUUUGAGACCUAAAGAAUAGAGGCCCUAUCCAAAACCUGAAGAAGUCAGUGGAAAGUCUCAUACUGACUUCAGUAGGUUUUGAAUCAGUCCCUAGGAGAGCAACAUUUUGCAACUACAGGAUUAAGCAUUUUUAGUCAGGGUUUUUUAAACUUUUCCCCCCAUAACCGUCCUGUGGCAUUGAAAACAAAGACAUGAGCAAUGUCUUCUUAACUUACCAAAUAGAUUGGAGCGAUGUAAGCAUUAUUUAAUAAUUGUAUAUAUCCCUCUUUAUAGACUGUUACUUUAGAUUACUGCUUGUGCAUAGAUAGAGUGCAGACAUCUUUAGUAGUGACUGUAGCUGCUUAUCACAGUAGCUGGCUAUCAUAUGGGAACUGUGAGUAUGUUCUGUAUGUAUGUAUGUUUAUAUGGAUACAAUUAUAUACAUACAUACAUCCUGUAUAUUAUAGAUCUUUUGAACAGGAUGAUCUUCAAAAAAGUACAGUGGUAACAAGCACUAUUAGGUUUAGGCAUGCAUUAAAAAGGUUUCAAUAAAACAUAGCUUCAGUAAUAAACUCCUAACUUAAAACUGGAUUUACUGGCAAUGACCAGUUUGAACGAUAGCAUCACAGUUUGGUUCCAUUUGUUGUGGCUACUCCAACAAAAGCAAAGGAAGUAGAGGUAACAUUAGAAAACUGUAUUUCCAUGUUCUCUUACAGCACUUCAUUAAAUCUGGCCAUCUUCAGUUAAUUUUCUUGGAAGAUCUGUUGCAACCAUUAUCUUGUUCUUUCUUUAUCAUGCAUUUAAAAUAAGAUGCAGAAUGCAAAAAUUGCAUUUAAUAUACAAUGUAAAUAUGGAACUUUUAAAAUUAAAAGAUGUUACGCAGAGUGCUUACAAUUCAACCACAUCUUAGCUACUUGUUAGUUUUUUUGUGUUGUCUUAUCUAAGUUUAAUGGACAUAUUUCCAUAAAUGUUGAUGUGUUUUUGUGUAUCUCUUCAAUUUUUUAUAAAGAUGCUAGUAAGUCAAUACAUAUAUCCUGAUCUGUGUAUUAUUUGUUCACAAGUUUCAGAGAAACUUAAAUUUAGUAACGCUAUUUUAAUAGGUAAAUACAGUAGUGAUUAUGUGGAGCCAAAUAUAUAUAUUUUUUCUUUUUCAAUUAUCUUGUUUUGAUCUUGUGGCAGUUCUAAGUUCAUUUUACUCUAUCAUAUCACAUCUUGGCUACUAGAUUGGUCUGGCCAUACUAUGUGUGAAAUUAUAGAAGAAUGUUCUUAAUUUCUUUAAAAGGCCUUUGUCCUUAAAGGUUAAACAGAUUAUACAUUACACUGGAUCUUCACAUUUUCAUGUCGGACCAAGGUUUUGGUUUCUGGGAGGGUUCUUUAUGUUGUAUAAGUACAAAGAGGUUGGUCUCAGAGAGCAGGGUGGCACGUUUUAUAUAAUGAAAAGAAACUGUUAAACAUAAUUGAGGAGCUUGGUAAAAUCCUAUGGAUAGGGAGAGGCACAAGUACAGACCUACAGAAUCCUCAUAAAUACAGGAAUUGCUACUAAAUGUUUUAUAAACUAUAGUGACAGAGUUUUUUAAUUUAGGAGGCUGAUGUGGGCCAAGAGUGACUGAUUCGUCUCCAUGUGUAACUGGACAAAAGAUUAUGAUGAUAUUUAUAAGUAUUGAAGUCAGAUCUACAGAAUAUAAGACAAAAAUAAAUCUUCAAACGAAUAAGUUUAAUUCCCAUUUGGGGGUUGGUUCUGAAAACUCACUUUUAAGUUUCACAGCUCUGCAUAAGGCCCUCUUAGUAAGUAAACGACCAGAUCUUCACUGGGCAUCUUAAUUCCUUGCAUAAUUGGAUUCCAUUGCAAAGAUUUAGUCUGAAGAACUUUUACAAAAGUGUAGGUAUUCUCAGCAUGCCUCUAUAUUAACUACAUUUAUUACCUUAGGUACAUUAUAACAACUAAUUCUGACUACUUUGGGGAAUAAAUAAGAACAUUUUAUUUGGUUGUGAAUUUUUUUUUUGAAUGUUUACACCAUAUAGUAUCUUCAGUCUGGUCAGUUUUAAAAGAUUGACUCCUUCUAAGAUGAUGCUGUGGGCGCUUCCUAGAAUUAGCAGAAGUAGCUAUGGGUGUUGCCUUUAUCCAUAGUUUGACUUUUCUGGGUAUGUCCUAGAUUUGUGCUCCACCAUACUCCUGUAGAUGUUAUAUUGUCCUCUCCAUUAGCACGGCAAGAUUCUAAGUAUGUUUCCACCCCAAGGAUAUGCUUCUGGCUUCACAUACUCUUGUUAGACAGGAUUUCUAGUUUUGGUCCUCUAGACGGAACUUUUUUCUUUGUAGCCAUUUUUGGUACUUUGAUUUUUCUAGCAGCAGUGUUGGAUGAAAAAUAAAUGUGGGGGAAAGAGGCACUAGACAGAUUAAAGAAAGUCCACUAGAUUUUGAGAGGAAUAAAUCAUUAGGGUAAUUUAAGGCUCUUGUUUCAAUGUUACCUUUUAAACUGGCUUUGAUUCUGAAAUGUUAGCACCGUUCUUUAAAUAUGAAUCAAUUCAACAGUUUGAAUACUGGAAGUAUUUUUUUAAAUUAGUAUUAAAUCCUAAGGAUUUUAUGUAAGGUUUUUUGUAACCUAGUUAGUUUUAUCUUAAAAAUUGCCUACAUUUUAACUUCUUAUCCACAUGAGCGCAAGGUCUUGUGUACAAAAACACUGAUUCAUAUUGGAUCCUCACGUAUACCAUCUUCUGGUAUAAUAUGGUUGGGAAGGAUCAUUUGUUUUAUUCUUUAGCACUACCUUUUGCAGGGUUUGUUUUUUUUUAAUCUUCAGUUUCCAUUUCUGUGCUUAUUUUGGUGGGAAGUACAUUGUCUUUUGCACUGUGUAAAACUUAAUGGGAAGGCUGUUUUCACUGGGUCUUUAAGCACUUGCAUUGCUUUCUCACUUCUCAAGUUGGACACUGUGUUUUUCUAACUCUAAAUGGAAAGGGGUCAUUGUACGUAUUUAAUAAUUUCUCAACAGGUUUACAUCAAGGAUUUUUAAUUUAACAGUAUUCCAGUUAACUGAGCUGAAGCUAUUUUAAAAUGUAUUACAGAUUAAAUGUAGGGUUUUUAAAAAUACUAGUCCUGUGUGUAGUUGCAUAAAAUAUAUUAUGGCUGAAAUAGUAUCUGUGAUUAUAUGGAAAAUCACUGUUAAAUGAAGCAUUUUACUGCUAUUUUUACCUUUUUUUUAAUGCAUUUCAUAGUUCAGGCUUUUCAUUGUGCAUAGUAAUUUUUCUAGUGUCUGCCAGGUUUACUUUGCAUAAAUAGAAAUAAAACUACUUCUUUUCAAUAAUGAAACAAUUUUUUGCAGGACUACUUUGCAGGAGAUGGGAGUUUUCAGUAAUUUUAACUUUCAAAUUAAUACACAUUUUCAUUUACAGAUACAGCAAAGACAAGACUAAUGAAUUUAUUUACAGUUGAUCAUCUGUCUCUAGUGGACCAUAUAAUUCAUACUUUUAAGAAGAGACACCAUUAAAACAAGUCAUAACACUUUAUUUUAUUACCAAGUUAUCCCUAGUCACCUUGGUUCUCCUCACCCUUUCUCUGUCCCCUUUCUGUUUCCCCUUGCUCCUAGUUUACCUGCAAGAAUGUUAAUUCUUUACUGCUGUCUUUUCCUUGAUGUUCUUCUCAUUCCUGUCCAAAACUUUCUCUUUCUGUCUGUGUGACAGUUGUAGUACCCAUCUUUCAGAAUCAUUCUCUAGUCUAGUUCCCUAAUACAAUGUUUUAGUCGCCUGUACUGAAAGUAAAUUGUACUGCUGUGUCUUUCCUACAGAUGUUAGUUGUAAAUGGUUGAACAUAAACAGCUGCCACCCAAAGGAGGGGUCAUUUUUAGAGAUUUCACACUUUAGGAUGUGUUGAACAUUCCAAAGAUGUGGGAAAAUAUAACAACUAUUUUGUUUCACAGCUCUUUUCCACUUAGCGGAGUGACAGCAGUUUCCAGAUAUGCUCUAGCUUCUGUGGCAUACCAGGAGAUAUAAGACUAAUUACUAACUUUUUCCUCCCCUUUACUUCUGCAGGAAUUCUAUUCUUGAGUUCAGUGAUAGUAAUAGUACUUUAUCAUUGCCACUUAGAAGUAAUGAGCACCUGUCAACACAAUUCUACCUCUAUUACUAUUACUGAAUGUGAUCCUUCCUAACCUAUAAACUCUUAAGUGCUGGAUAUAUUUGGGUAUAUUGAAACUAUAAUUUAAAAUGUACUGUUCUAAUCUGGAUUAUGAAGCUUGUGUUUAUUAGGAGUUCAGAAUAUAAAUUCAAGAGGCGACUGUAUCAUGAUACUGACUCCACUGUGGGUUCAUGUGCUUCAUGUUUUCUACUGCAUCAUCUACACACAUUAUUUUACUUCUCAUUUCUUAAGUGUUACAUGCCUGAUUAUACCAAGUCCUUCCAUUUUCAUUAGAUAUCUUUCUGUGGUAUAUGUUAGGUGUGAAUGUAAAAAUGAAAACACAGAAAUAAUGUACAAGUUCCCUAUAUGUGAUUCCAUACUUCAAAUGUCAGUAUGUAUUUAAGGGUAUUUAUUGUAACUAAAUUGUGUAAAUAAAAUAUUUUUUCCUUUUCUUUGUA